AUGGGGAAUUUCAGGCCUGAGGCGCCGGGUUUGGCACUGGAGCCAAGACAGGGGCUCCCAGCUGUCCCUUGGCACGGGAAUGGCACGAGGAUCACGCCGGGCCCCGUGAAUGGCUGGGAACAUCCCCAAACUGCUCCAAUUCCAGCUUUACCAGGGAAGUGGAGCUGGCAGACCCAGGUGUCCCUGCUGGCCUCAGCCCUCGGGACAACCCCAUCCCGGCUUUCCCGAUCCUCAGGGCUGAGGGAAAGGAAUGUGGGGUCUACAGGGGACAGAGAAGAUCCUUCCAGUGGUGAAUUAAUGAAACGUAAAGCAAGGAAAAGCUCCUGGGACAACGGGAACUGCCAGCUCAGGAGGAAACACCAGGAUGUUGGGGACAUCUCUUGGGUCAGGGAGAGCCAAAUGAAGGGAUCUGACGGGACAGAGAGGACACGGCUCCACAGCCCUGCCCCGGGAGCAGCAGUGGGGGUUUUUGGGAAGCAUCCCUACGUGGAUCAUCAUCCUCCAUCAGGAUAUUCCAUAACCCCAGGGGGGCUCUGGAGAGAAGGGAAUCCUGAACAGAUCUGCUUCCCAACAACAGAGAUUUGGGGACUCCCCAACUUGGGGAUGUCCCAUCCAGAACCUUCCCUGCCACCGCCUGGGGAUGCAAUUCCGCAGGAAUCCUUCGGGAACGCGGGGAUGUGCCGCUGGGACCCGGGACGUACCCACACACGCUUCCCCCUCCAGCAGGCAGGAUCCAGAUCCACCCCAGCCCACGGAAACCCCUUUCCCUCAGGGAUGUGGCUGCAUCCCCAGGGCUGGGAUGAGGCCGUGCUCCCCUGGCUGGCCCGGGGACUCCCAGCCCCGGCCGGAGGCGCCUCCGGCUGUGACGCAGCCCCAAAACAGCUUCUGCUUUUGGGGCACCCCAAAUCCCAGCACCCACCUCGUCCUCCAUGGGGCUCCCAGCAGGAGAGGGGCUCCGGGGGGAGCCGAGGGAGCUCUGGGGGCUCUGGGGGGAGCAGGGAACGCUCCCCUCGCUUUGGGGGUGCCGGAAUGGAGCUGCUCGGGGCCAGGAAGUGCCACGGCCACGGCUUCCUCCGUCCCACGUGA
rnacentral:lncRNA from 1 species